rnacentral:lncRNA from 1 species
UUCUGGUUAUAUGGGCCCUAUUCACCAUGGGUGAGUAAUGUUGAUGGUGGUAGAAUUGGUCAAGCUGUGGCUGUGAUUGAUCUGAGAAAACGCUCUGACACCAACAAAGCCAACUCAUCACCUCAGACUGCAAUCAUACCUCUGAGAGUUCCAUCAAACUGUCAGAGAGACUUUAACCUCUUGGCCUUUGACCCUGAUGGAGACGAUGUAAGAUGCAGAUAUGGAAAUGCAUCACUGUCAGAGAGUUACACCUACAAAAAGCCACCUUUUUUCAACCUCUCAUCAUCCUGUACGUUGUCAUUCAGCCCAACAAGCAGCAGUAAGGAAGGAGCCUAUGUUGUUCAGAUGGUGAUGGAGGACUUUCCAAAGGAGAAUAUCACCCUGACUCAAACUAAUGGUUCACAGGAGGUGAAAACCAACAAUGACGCCAUCAGCAAGAUUCCAGUCCAGUUUGUUGUAAGAGUGGAUCCUGCAGUGCCAUCAUGCACAGAGGGACUUUAUCUGCCCAGGAUUCUGACUCCAAUCCCAGAUAGACUGUACACGAUUGUCAAUCAGCCUGUGCUAAUUAAUAUCACAGCAGAGGCUCUUAAUGCUUCGUAAGUUACAAAAAAAAGACAUUUCAUAUGAUUUAGAUAUUAGAAUCCUAUAAUUGAUGUAUUACAAUUACAGUACAGAAACAUUUUGUAUUUGCAGUAGAAAUCUGUAGUGUUAAUGAUUUUUAUCCAAACCAGGUUUAUCAACAGACAAAAAAUGUAACAUAGAAAACAUAAAUAAGAGUUUAAAGGGUUCUACACUGUCUGCUUGGUCCCAUAACUUUUAACUAUUGCUAUACAUGUAAAUGUUGUCCAGCUAUAUGUGUAGCAAUAUACACUUUUUUUCCCAUGUUUGCCAAAGGCUCUCACAGGUGCUGUACAGUGGCCCGUCCACCAUAAACCUAAACAGGGUAUUACCAGGACAGUACGUCAUGAGUUGGACUCCACCUGAAGAUAACGGAGGAGAAAGCCAUCCCAUCUGCUUUGUUGUCGAGGCAGAUAAUGUGUAAGUCUAAAUGAAUAUUACAGUGAGAAAGUAGAAAGAUUAAUCUGCAUGCAUAAUAUAAAUAAAUUACAACUGGGUAAAUGGUGGUGUAGUGAA